UACGUAGGGGGCAAGCGUUAAUCGGAAUUACUGGGCGUAAAGCGUGCGUAGGCGGCUCGGUAAGUCGGGUGUGAAACCUCCAGGCUCAACCUGGAGACGCCACCUGAUACUGCUGUGGCUAGAGUCCGGUAGGGGAGUGUGGAACUCCUGGUGUAGCGGUGAAAUGCGCAGAUAUCAGGAGGAACACCCGUGGCGAAAGCGGCUCUCUGGGACGGUACUGACGCUGAGACGCGAAAGCGUGGGGAGCAAACAGG
rnacentral:rRNA from 1 species